rnacentral:rRNA from 1 species
AUGAACGCUAGCUACAGGCUUAACACAUGCAAGUCGAGGGGCAGCAUGGUCUUAGCUUGCUAAGACUGAUGGCGACCGGCGCACGGGUGAGUAACACGUAUCCAACCUGCCGUCUACUCUUGGACAGCCUUCUGAAAGGAAGAUUAAUACAAGAUGGCAUCAUGAGUCCGCAUGUUCACAUGAUUAAAGGUAUUCCGGUAGACGAUGGGGAUGCGUUCCAUUAGAUAGUAGGCGGGGUAACGGCCCACCUAGUCUUCGAUGGAUAGGGGUUCUGAGAGGAAGGUCCCCCACAUUGGAACUGAGACACGGUCCAAACUCCUACGGGAGGCAGCAGUGAGGAAUAUUGGUCAAUGGGCGAGAGCCUGAACCAGCCAAGUAGCGUGAAGGAUGACUGCCCUAUGGGUUGUAAACUUCUUUUAUAAAGGAAUAAAGUCGGGUAUGCAUACCCGUUUGCAUGUACUUUAUGAAUAAGGAUCGGCUAACUCCGUGCCAGCAGCCGCGGUAAUACGGAGGAUCCGAGCGUUAUCCGGAUUUAUUGGGUUUAAAGGGAGCGUAGAUGGAUGUUUAAGUCAGUUGUGAAAGUUUGCGGCUCAACCGUAAAAUUGCAGUUGAUACUGGAUAUCUUGAGUGCAGUUGAGGCAGGCGGAAUUCGUGGUGUAGCGGUGAAAUGCUUAGAUAUCACGAAGAACUCCGAUUGCGAAGGCAGCCUGCUAAGCUGCAACUGACAUUGAGGCUCGAAAGUGUGGGUAUCAAACAGGAUUAGAUACCCUGGUAGUCCACACGGUAAACGAUGAAUACUCGCUGUUUGCGAUAUACAGCAAGCGGCCAAGCGAAAGCGUUAAGUAUUCCACCUGGGGAGUACGCCGGCAACGGUGAAACUCAAAGGAAUUGACGGGGGCCCGCACAAGCGGAGGAACAUGUGGUUUAAUUCGAUGAUACGCGAGGAACCUUACCCGGGCUUAAAUUGCAGAUGAAUUACGGUGAAAGCCGUAAGCCGCAAGGCAUCUGUGAAGGUGCUGCAUGGUUGUCGUCAGCUCGUGCCGUGAGGUGUCGGCUUAAGUGCCAUAACGAGCGCAACCCUUGUUGUCAGUUACUAACAGGUCAUGCUGAGGACUCUGAUAAGACUGCCAUCGUAAGAUGUGAGGAAGGUGGGGAUGACGUCAAAUCAGCACGGCCCUUACGUCCGGGGCUACACACGUGUUACAAUGGGGGGGUACAGAGGGCCGCUACCACGCGAGUGGAUGCCAAUCCCCAAAACCUCUCUCAGUUCGGACUGGAGUCUGCAACCCGACUCCACGAAGCUGGAUUCGCUAGUAAUCGCGCAUCAGCCACGGCGCGGUGAAUACGUUCCCGGGCCUUGUACACACCGCCCGUCAAGCCAUGGGAGCCGGGGGUACCUGAAGUGCGUAACCGCGAGGAGCGCCCUAGGGUAAAACUGGUGACUGGGGCU